CUCUUGCUUCUGCUUCAUCUUUGUCGUCAACUGGUUUCAUGGCAACAGACUAAUUUGAUUCUUCUUUUCCCUCUGAAGGAAGUCAGAGUGUUCUGAAUCUCACUGACAUGGAGAGCAGCUCCUUACUUGGGAUAUUUCUCCUGCUGAUGUGCUAUAUCAACAGCAGCUGCCUGUUUUCAUAUUCAGCACCUGGAAAACUCUGGGUCUCCAUUACCAAAUAUCAAACUAAUAAUUGCUGGGAAUCAAGAUGGUUAAGCAGAAAAAUAUAACCAUCCUCCACAGAAGAAGCUGCAAUACUCAAGAGUCUUAUGGAAUAAAAUACUAUUUCUGCAC